UGUGCUAUUGGAAUGGCCGAUAUCUGAUUAGCUAGUUGGUAGGGUAAAAGCCUACCAAGGCGACGAUCAGUAGCUGGUCUGAGAGGACGACCAGCCACACUGGAACUGAGACACGGUCCAGACUCCUACGGGAGGCAGCAGUGGGGAAUUUUGGACAAUGGGGGCAACCCUGAUCCAGCAAUGCCGCGUGAGUGAAGAAGGCCCUCGGGUUGUAAAGCUCUUUUGUCAGGGAAGAAACGGAGUUCUCUAAUAUAGGAUUCUAAUGACGGUACCUGAAGAAUAAGCACCGGCUAACUACGUGCCAGCAGCCGCGGUAAUACGUAGGGUGCAAGCGUUAAUCGGAAUUACUGGGCGUAAAGCGUGCGCAGGCGGUUUUGUAAGUCUGAUGUGAAAUCCCCGGGCUCAACCUGGGAACUGCAUUGGAGACUGCAAGGCUAGAGUGUGUCAGAGGGGGGUAGAAUUCCACGUGUAGCAGUGAAAUGCGUAGAGAUGUGGAGG
rnacentral:rRNA from 1 species